AGGGGUACAGUUCAGCGGUAGAGUGCAUGCUUAGCAUGUGCUAGGUCCUAGGUUCAAAUCCCAGUACCUCCA
rnacentral:tRNA from 1 species